AUUGAACGCUGGCGGAAUGCUUUACACAUGCAAGUCGAGCGGCAGCACGGGGGCAACCCUGGUGGCGAGCGGCGAACGGGUGAGUAAUACAUCGGAACAUGCCCAGUCGUGGGGGAUAACACUUCGAAAGAAGUGCUAAUACCGCAUACGUCCUGAGGGGGAAAGCGGGGGAUCGCAAGACCUCGCGCGAUUGGAGUGGCCGAUGUCAGAUUAGCUAGUUGGUGGGGUAAAGGCCUACCAAGGCAACGAUCUGUAGCUGGUCUGAGAGGAUGAUCAGCCACACUGGGACUGAGACACGGCCCAGACUCCUACGGGAGGCAGCAGUAGGGAAUUUUGGACAAUGGGCGCAAGCCUGAUCCAGCCAUUCCGCGUGAGUGAAGAAGGCCUUCGGAUUGUAAAGCUCUUUCGGCAGGAACGAAACGGUGAGCUCUAACAUAGCUUGCUAAUGACGGUACCUGAAGAAGAAGCACCGGCUAACUACGUG
rnacentral:rRNA from 1 species